AUGAAAUCCAUACUUAGAUUCCUUCUACUGUUGGCCACCCCCUGGUGGGUCCUGUCACAAGUGCAGCUGGUGGAGUCAGGGCCCAGGACUGUAAAACCCUCAGAGACUCUCAGCCUCACCUGCUCCAUCUCAGGCGCCUCCUCGGACACCCUGGGCAGUAGUUGUUGCUGGUGGCACUGGAUCCGGCAGAGUCCCGGGAAAGGGCUGGAAUGGAUGGGGGAUAUAGAGCAAGGGGGAACAAAAUACUACGCCUCUUCCCUCCAGAGUCGCAUCACCAUCUCCGAGAACCCUUCCAAGAACCAGUUCUCCCUGGAGCUCCGCUCGCUGACAGCUGCAGAUACCGGCACCUAUUACUGCGCCAGGAGCUAUACAGUGACAUAG